CGCGGAGUGGAGAAGUGGUAUCUCGUCGGGCUCAUAACCCGAAGACCAUAGGUUCAAUUCCUAUCUCCGCAACCA
rnacentral:tRNA from 1 species